AAAAGAAAGCCCAGGUUAAAGUUUGUUUAAAAAAUAAAUAAAUAAAAGUCCUUAAAAAAGAACUUGUGGAGUUCUGGAACAAACUAAGAUCAGAUGAGUUUUGUAGUAACCUGCAUCAAAGUGAUGGAAAGAGAAAAGUGUGGGAAAAAGAAAGGAAAGUCUCUUGAUCCAAAGCACCCGGCUCAUCUGUGAAACAUGAUGGAGGUAGUGCUCAGAUCCAACCAAAUGGCUCAAAACUCAUUGACCAACACUUAAAUCUGCAAAAGGGCAAUGACCCACUUAUGCUAUAUUGGCAGGAGUAAUUAUUUUAACAAUGUAGCUGGUUUCACUGCCGCAUUGGCUUUCCAUUGGUGGUGUGUGACAGAUCCUGUUUUAAUGGACGUUGGUUCAUUUAGAAAGCAGAAACGUUCCUUUCUCCUGCAUACAAAUGUAUUUACCCAGAUUUACAGAUUCCCCACUGUGCACGCUCCUUUUUAGGCAAAGUAACCCACGCUGUGUUGAAAAUAGGCGGCUGGUCAGUCUAACAGUUGAACCACUUCACCAUGUCUGAGUGCUAUGUAUAUUGAGUUCCAGCAACAUGAUUUGCUAUUUGGAGGAGCAGGCUAUUUGUGCUAACGAGCAAGUGACCCUGCUGACUCAGCAACCCAACCUGUAACUAAAGUUUGUGGGGGCUGUGAAAGAGCUCCAGUUCCAGCGAACCACAGCGGCUCAAUCGGUCCAGCUAACCACAGCAGCUCGGGCGGU